rnacentral:tRNA from 1 species
CCCUGGUUAGCUUAGUUAGUAGAGCUCUCCACUGGAAAUGAAGAGGUCCCGGAUUGGACACCCGGACCAGGCG